rnacentral:tRNA from 6 species
GGGAGUAUGGUGUAGUCUGGUCUAUCAUCGGGGACUCCAAAUCCCUGGACCUGGGUUCAAAUCCCAGUACUUCCA